CAGUUAUGGUUUAUUUGAUGGUUCCUUUGCUACUUGGAUAACCGUAGUAAUUCUAGAGCUAAUACAUGCACGAAGGGGCGACUUACGAAGCCCUGUAUUUAUUAGAUUAAAGCCAACCACCUCCGGGUGUUAAAAAAAAAUCAUAGUAACUUCUCGGAUCGCCGGCUCUACGCCAGCGACGUGUCAUUCAAAUUUCUGCCCUAUCAGCUUUAGAUGGUAGGAUAUGGGCCUACCAUGGCGGUGACGGGUAACGGAGAAUUAGGGUUCGAUUCCGGAGAGGGAGCCUGAGAAACGGCUACCACUUCUAAGGAAGGCAGCAGGCGCGCAAAUUACCCAAUCCUGACUCAGGGAGGUAGUGACAAGAAAUAACAAUAAACCGGCUUAUGCCGGUUUAAUUGGAAUGAGUACAAUUUAAACAUCUUAACGAGGAACAAUAAGG
rnacentral:rRNA from 1 species